GACGAACGCUUUCUUCUUUCCUAAUACAUGCAAGUAGAACGCUGAAGAGAGGAGCUUGCUCUUCUUGGAUGAGUUGCGAACGGGUGAGUAACGCGUAGGUAACCUGCCUUGUAGCGGGGGAUAACUAUUGGAAACGAUAGCUAAUACCGCAUAACAAUGGAUGACACAUGUCAUUUAUUUGAAAGGGGCAAUUGCUCCACUACAAGAUGGACCUGCGUUGUAUUAGCUAGUAGGUGAGGUAAUGGCUCACCUAGGCGACGAUACAUAGCCGACCUGAGAGGGUGCUAGGCCACACUGGGACUGAGACACGGCCCAGACUCCUACGGGAGGCAGCAGUAGGGAAUCUUCGGCAAUGGGGGCAACCCUGACCGAGCAACGCCGCGUGAGUGAAGAAGGUUUUCGGAUCGUAAAGCUCUGUUGUAAGUCAAGAACGGGUGUGAGAGUGGAAAGUUCACACUGUGACGGUAGCUUACCAGAAAGGGACGGCUAACUACGUG
rnacentral:rRNA from 1 species